CACAGUAAUUGAAAGAACAUUUCAUGUGGAGACUCCAGAGGAGCGGGAAGAAUGGACAAAAGCCAUUCAAACAGUAGCAGACAGCCUCAAGAAACAAGAGGAGGAGAUGAUGGAUUUUAGGUCUGGCUCUCCCAGUGAUAAUUCAGGUGCUGAAGAAAUGGAAGUUUCUAUGACAAAGCCAAAACACAAAGUGACCAUGAAUGAGUUUGAAUACCUUAAACUACUGGGAAAAGGCACUUUUGGAAAAGUCAUUCUAGUCAAAGAAAAGGCAACUGGACGGUAUUAUGCUAUGAAAAUUCUGAAGAAGGAAGUUAUUGUAGCAAAGG